UGGUGCAGGUAGAGAGAGCAUGUUUAUUUUUAUUCAUUUUUCUCUCACAUAGAAAUUGUCCCUAUCUACUAUCUAGCGAAACCACAGCCAAGGGAACGGGCUUGGAAAAAUCAGCGGGGAAAGAAGACCCUGUUGAGCUUGACUCUAGUCUGACUCUGUGAAGAGACAUGAGAGGUGUAGCAUAAGUGGGAGGCCGUGAACCCUCGCGGUUGUGUCGUGCCGUCAGUGAAAUACCACUACUUUCAUCGUUUCUUUACUUACUCGGUGAAGCGGAAAGGGGACCAUGAGUGUCCACGCUUCUAGCACUAAGUGCAAGGCCCUUCGUUGGCCCGCACGAUCUGUUCCGAGGACAGUGUCAGGCGGGGAGUUUGACUGGGGCGGUACAUCUGUCAAAUGGUAACGCAGGUGUCCUAAGGCGAGCUCAGCGAGGACAGAAACCUCGCGUAGAGCAAAAGGGCAAAUGCUUGCUUGAUCUUGAUUUUCAGUACGAUUACAGACCGCGAAAGCGGGGCCCCUCGAUCCUUUUGACUUUAAGAGUUUUAAGCAAGAGGUGUCAGAAAAGUUACCACAGGGAUAACUGGCUUGUGGCGGC
rfam:Ixodes scapularis strain Wikel colony gcontig_1108379093444, whole genome shotgun sequence.